GAUGAACGCUGGCGGCGUGCCUAAUACAUGCAAGUCGAGCGAACAGACGAGGAGCUUGCUCCUCUGACGUUAGCGGCGGACGGGUGAGUAACACGUGGAUAACCUACCUAUAAGACUGGGAUAACUUCGGGAAACCGGAGCUAAUACCGGAUAAUAUAUUGAACCGCAUGGUUCAAUAGUGAAAGACGGUUUUGCUGUCACUUAUAGAUGGAUCCGCGCCGCAUUAGCUAGUUGGUAAGGUAACGGCUUACCAAGGCGACGAUGCGUAGCCGACCUGAGAGGGUGAUCGGCCACACUGGAACGGAGACACGGUCCAGACUCCUAAGGGAGGCAGCAGUAGGGAAUCUUCCGCAAUGGGCGAAAGCCUGACGGAGCAACGCCGCGUGAGUGAUGAAGGUCUUCGGAUCGUAAAACUCUGUUAUUAGGGAAGAACAAAUGUGUAAGUAACUAUGCACGUCUUGACGGUACCUAAUCAGAAAGCCACGGCUAACUACGUG
rnacentral:rRNA from 1 species